rnacentral:lncRNA from 1 species
UUUUACAUACAGGCCUCUGCACCGGCGUGAAAGCAGUUUAGAGUUACUCCCAACAGGGACGAAACCCCCGUACACUUUGCUUUAAAUGUGUUAUUACUUGUAAAUCCGCGUGGACUAUUUUUUUACUCUGUCUUGACUAAUUUCAAUCCGUGUGGACUACAUACUAGCAGCGCAUGUGCGGGACCUGUACUGGAGUUUUGAACAACGAGUGCUGCGUGCCAGGUAAAGAUGCGCAGAUCUACCUACUACCAUUUGCAGCAGAGGCGCAGAGCCACAUAUUUAGAACGCCACUACCGUUUCGAUGGUGUGGCAGCAGCGUGCCGGAGAUGGAACUUUUCCCAGGCGGCACUGUAACCGCCUUGAAACAAGAUGUAAGAUGAUCCUGUACAGUAAUUUGAGGCCGAAAAAGAACAAUCAGUACGCGAUUGAAUUUUCGCCAGAGCGUGAGCAGUCCUGACCUAACCUGACGACCCAAGGACCGAAGCACCGUGAAGCACUGAUGAGGCUGCUCCACCCCCUGCCCGAAGGAAAUGGUGUGUCGAUCUGCAGAUGUAUCUGCCCAUAUACAGUAGCUUGACGCAUGUGAGGCAAUCAUUUUAAGGGCGGUGCAAACGUGGCUUGGGCCUCCUAAUUUCCCAAUGUCAGCUGUCUUAUUAAUCCGAGCCAUG